CCCCAAGCCGUCCUGUGCUCUUAAUUCCCAUGACUCUACUUCAUUUCAGGUAUUCCAAUGUUGUCCCGCUUUAGAUGUAUUAUUUUUAGAUGUUAUUGUGAUUAUAUUUAAACAAUUUUCAAAUCGACCUGCCUGAAAUCUACAUCCGGAAGCUCCAAGGAGGAAAACAGCAGCCCUGGGAGACAGAAGGGGAUGCUCUGUGCCCAGUGGAGGCUUUGCCAGCUGGACCUCAGCAAGCAGGUGCUGUGGACGGUUUCUGCAGUCCCUGCACGCUGACGAGCACCUGCAGCGAGGACAAGUGUCCAGAUGGCCCCCUGGCCCAGGGCGACGUGUGUGGCUGCAGCCACUGGAGGCAGCAGUGUCGACGAGAGAGCUGCACCUUGGACAUCAGCUGCGCACGAUGGGGCCCAGAGGACACCCGUGAUACUUGGUCAUCCGAAGGGAAGCAGAGCACCUUCCAGGUCUGCACUGUGACAACAGGGAGUUCCGUCAAUGCUCUACAGUGAACUAGCCCACAUGGAAGCCAGAGCUGGUUUUUUGUCCUCACUGUCUUAGUCCUUCUGAUCCUGAACAGACAAAUGUAUGGGUAGCCCUCCUGACUGUUUUCUGCUACUUGCCGCAUGAGCUACCCAAUUUGGCCAUGUGCCUGUAAUUAAACAGCACGUGGUUUCCCCCUUCCUUGUGUCCACAACUUCACCCUUAGAGAUAUAUUCUUCUAAGUCCUGUAUGAUCUUCCAGUGUAAGGAGUUCCCCCUGGAAAGGUGGUGGAGAAACUAUUUUCUCUUCCCUGCCUCAAGUUUCAGGCGGAUUUGUGAGCGACAGCCUGGAAGAUUGUUUCAGAAUUCCUCAGCACUGGGACUUUGGGCCGUAUCUGAGGGCUUUGCCUUUCUCGUUGAUAAAAAGAAGUGUGAAGUUGAGUCAUCUGUGGUUAUAUGGAACAUAUAUCGUACAUUUUCUGAAACAGACUCCAUGUCAAAGAUCUCAUCCCUUUGUUCUCAUCAGCAGAUUCAUUCCUUUUAGACCCACAGUUCAAAAAA
ensembl:lncRNA